rnacentral:rRNA from 1 species
UGGGGAAUAUUGGACAAUGGGGGAAACCCUGAUCCAGCAAUGCCGCGUGUGCGAUGAAGGCCUGCGGGUUGUAAAGCACUUUCGGUGGGGAAGAAAUGCUCAAAGAUAAUACAUUUGAGAGCUGACGUUACCAACAGAAGAAGCACCGGCAAACUCUGUGCCAGCAGCCGCGGUAAUACAGAGGGUGCAAGCGUUAAUCGGAGUUACUGGGCGUAAAGGGCGCGUAGGCUGAUAUUUAAGUCGAUUGUGAAAUCCCUGGGCUUAACCUAGGAAUUGCAGUCGAUACUGAAUGUCUUGAGUAUGGUAGAGGAAAGUGGAAUUCUCGGUGUAGUGGUUAAAUACGUAGAUAUCGAGAAGAACACCGGUGGCGAAGGCGACUUUCUGGACCAAUACUGACGCUGAGGCACGAAAGCGUGGGGAGCAAACA